UCUUUGCGUAUUCAAAACAUGACAAACAGGCAUAUUAAAAGAUUAUAAAUUAUUCUAGUACUAACAUUGCUAUUGUUGUUAUAAAAACAAAUGUUAUACUUAAAAACACAUUUUUCAUAGUAAACUUUGCAAAUAAAACAAAAGUUUGUUUAACAAAAAAGUGGUACAUUAAAAGUCAUUACAAUUAUCACGUUAAAUAGAGAAAAAAAUCAAGUAUUAUGAAGCCGUUAACAUUAAGGUGGAUAGAUAAAUACAAAAAUGCUGAACACCAACCGACUACUCCGGACGUUGUCUUUGCUACAUCCGUACAAGAAGAAGAUAUUGACAGUGAGAAAUCAUAUAUGCCUUUGACUACCAGCUACCAAGUCUUUGUAAAUUAUGUUUUCUUGUAUCAAAAUGCUGGAUUUAUGUUCUGCGCCACAUCUGCAAAUAUUAUCUUAUUUGGAGUAAAUACGUUUAAGUAUGCUUUCUUGAAAUAUGAUUCAAUGCAAUCGCCUUACCUAAUCUUUGUGCAAUUUGUCUGCUAUCUAAUUAUAAUCAUGGAAAUUCUAUCGUCAGUCCUACAUCACGUUUGUAGAAAAAUUGCCGCACAAAGAGCAUUAACCCCAAGACAUUGGAUUAUAAUCACAAUUGAUUUUGUCUUACAAUUUGGUGUCGCCCUAAUAGGCAUUGUCGUAUCCUGGGAGACAAGUUUCGUGUGCUUUUUUGAAAUAUUUCGAUUAUUUCGAGUAUUUGUCUUUUAUAAUUUAAUAUCUUCAUCACCAGGUAAACACACGGUUGUUUUUAGCUUUCUAAAAUUUGCAAUGGUUGUCCUUUUGGUCAUUCACAUUAGCACUAUAUCUGUACAAGUUUUUACGAUCGAAUUACGAGAUUGGUACAAGCUGAAUUGGCAUCAGGAAUAUGUGUCGACAUUAAAGCAGCCCGUAACCGAAACACUUUCUUUGUAUAUUUAUCAAGUAUUUAUCGUUCUUUCUGCACUUGGAAAUUUAGGGAGCGUGAGUGCAUCAUGGCAAAACGACAUUGAACAAGCCCUUGCUACAAUUCUGGCUUUGUUUGGUAUGAUUUACGUCAAUGGUAUCUUUCUUGGCAAUUAUACAUCUAUACGUUUGAACAUGUAUCAGAUUAAAACAAUCUACUACAAUAAGCUAAAACUGGUUAAUAAGCAUUUGGCUGUUUAUAAAGUUCCGAAAAAAAUACGAUCCAAAAUAAAAACCUACUAUUUGGAAUUUUGGAACAACGAAGCUGCUAUAAAUUCAUCUAAACUGGUGUAUGAACUUCCUAUGACUCUUCAGUAUGCGAUUUAUUUGGACAAGUAUUGGUUCUGCUUCGAAAAUUCUAACUUUUUGCCGGACACCCAUUACGGUUUUAAACGUGCGCUUAGUUAUGUUAUGGAAACAAGAAUCUAUUCAACUGGUGAAACUGUUUAUUUUUCCAAUUCAGACAAAAACACAAUGUAUUAUAUACAUCGUGGAAAUAUACAAGUCCUUUCCGCCGAAGAUAUGGAAAGCCCGUUAAUUACAUUGGGCGUAGGUACAAUUAUCGGCGAAACAAGUCUAAUUACAUCGUAUACGAGUCCCUUACAAAUAGUGGCAUCGACUUAUUGCGUUGCAUAUUGCCUGAGCAAAUAUGAUAUAUGGCGAAUUGCCGCAAAGUAUCGAAAACUGAAGCAGGGUCAGAUAAUACACAACAAGUGCAAAGAUAUAUUUGACUCAGCAAAAAACAAGAGAAUAUUUAAGGAAGGAAAACCACUGGAGGGCACUGAAAGCCUGGUUUCACUUGAAGGAAUGCUAAGAAAUGCAAUCGACCAGCGUGUAGAUGGACCUAAGCUACUUUACGUGCUAAGCCAACAAUUUGGAAAACGAAACAGAAUUGAUGAGAUUUUUUUAAACACAAAAUUUCCAUGGAUUCUAAAUGCUUCAUCAAAAUUAAUAUUAUACUGGGAUCUCUCCAUCGUCAUUUUCACCUUUGGCAUUACAAUUGCUCUGCCAUAUGUAAUAGCUUUUCGUUUGGAAGACAGAUACUAUUUCCACAUUUUGGAAUACUACAUGAGUGCAUUCUUUGUUCUUGAUGUAGUAAUAUACUUAUUUGUUGCCAUUGAAGAUGACACAGGUGUGCGAUCGACAAUAAUGGAAAUCCUUAUGAAACGUGUGCAUUCUUCAUUUAUGCUCGAUAUUAUCGCAGCAAUACCAAUACGACAACUGCUAAAUGUCGUAGAGCUGGACGUUCAAGAAAGAGAAAAAUGGGUAAUGUUAAUUAUGCCAUUUAUACGACUGAUAAAAUUUCACAAGAUUGUGAGCUUCUUCAUUAAAAUCGAAAAUACGUUCAAAUUUAAUUUGGCACUGCUUCGACUUUUAAAAUACAAUUUGUAUGUGAUCGUUUGUGCUUACAUUAUGACAGCUAUAUAUUAUAUACUAGCUUGUGACGAUCAAGGCUUUCGCGAUGAUAGCUGGGCGGCAGGUUUAAAGAAAAACUCACCUGAUCUUUCAGAUGGAUAUAUAUUUUUAAACACAUUUAAGUCCCUAUUUGAAGUUGUGCUCCUAGAAGGUAUUGGAGUACUAAAAUUUUCAAGAUUGAUUGAUGUGUUUGUAAUGAUUUGUUUCACCGUCGUCGGUAUCAUGUUAUUCACCUAUAUAGCAGCUGAUUACAGUGCAACUAUGACCCUGAAUGAUUAUGAACUUGGAACAUAUUCUAAAACAAUGCAAACUAUAAAGCAAUUGUCUUUGAAUCCACUAUUUCAAACAUCAGAAAGUAAACGAAAUAUGGACAGAAUUUAUGACUAUUUAUCUUCACAGUGGUAUUUUAACCGAGGAGCAAAAAUUAAAGAAUUAUUAAAGGACGGUCCGGAAACCUUAUUUGAACUGCAACAGAUUGCAAAAUAUGAAUCUAUUUUAGAAAAAAUACCAAUAUUUGCAAAUUUUGGAAAAGUAUUUUGUAAUCUACUCGCAACCAAAUGUGAAGAAGUGCAGUUUUCGGAAAACACCAUAUUUAUUAACGAAAGUCAAACUUGUGAAGAUAUGUACAUAAUUGACAGGGGCUAUUGCGAGCUCAUUUCAGGAUCAACUACAAGAAUUGAAAAAACCUUGGGACCUGGUUCCAAUAUAUGCAUCUUAGAAGCAAUGGUGGGAAUCCGGAAUAUCUUUUUUGUGCGCAGUAUUACCUGUACAGCUCUCAUUAGAAUAUCAAAACUACACUUACAAUCUCUAAUGCGAACUAUUCCUCAAGUUGAAAUUGAAUGCAAAAAAUUCAACGCGGAAAUGAAGACAUCUAUUUUAUAUGCCCAUUUUAUGAAAACGCGUAUUAUUCAAAUACUGGAUAUAGACACUGAAGAACGAACUGGUUCAUUCUUCAUAUUUCCAAAUGAUAAAACUGACCCAUUAUAUCAAGAUUUUCUCUACGGCUGGUCAAAGUUUGGAAUUUUCAGAUACGUAAUGCUGCCGCUAACUAUAAUGCCUGAUGGUGCAUUUAUUAUUGGCUGGGAAAUAGUGCACAACAUAUUAACUUUCAUCCUGGUAACAAUUUCUUUGUGCUAUGAUUAUUGGGCAGCAGAAAAUAGGACCUAUGACGCCAUUGUACGCGCGUUGGAAGUGUUCCAAUUAGUUUCAAUUUAUGUUCGAUUCCACAUUUGCUACUAUGACAAAAAGGUAUUUUGAUAUCACAUCCGCGAUUGACAGGCUUCCAUUACCUGAUUGGAGCAUUUAUCAUAGAUAUCAUUGGUGUUAUACCAAUGGUUAACUUUUAUCAACUUGUCACACAAAGUCAGAGUGGAAUAUAUGCGAUAUUUAAUAUAAACAAAAUCUUGAUGAUGUAUCGUCUACCAAUGGCUUUUUAUUAUUUCAAGCGAGACGUUUUGAAGCCAGUGGGGAUAACACUGUACGAGUCCAUAAAUAAUGCCAUUCAUAUAAAUAUCUCUAAUAACAUAUUUUACAGGAUAUAUGAUUUUUACGUAUGUGUUGGUAAUUAUUGCUAACAGUCAAACUAUUAUAAACAGCGAACUGACACUCUACCAAAGUCAC